rnacentral:rRNA from 1 species
UACGUAGGGUGCGAGCGUUAAUCGGAAUUACUGGGCGUAAAGCGCGUGUAGGCGGCUCGGUAAGUCUGCUCUGAAAGCCCGGGGCUCAACCCUGGGAGGCGGGUGGAUACUGCUGAGCUCGAGUCCGGAAGAGGCGAGUGGAAUUCCUGGUGUAGCGGUGAAAUGCGCAGAUAUCAGGAGGAACACCAAUGGCGAAGGCAGCUCGCUGGGACGGUACUGACGCUGAGACGCGAAAGCGUGGGGAGCAAACAGG